GAUGAACGCUGGCGGCGUGCCUAACACAUGCGAGUCGAACGGAGAUUACGGACGGAAGUUUUCGGAUGGAAGACUGUAAUUCUUAGUGGCGGACGGGUGAGUAACGCGUGGGCAACCUGCCCUAUACAGGGGGAUAGCAGCUGGAAACGGCUGGUAAGACCGCAUAAGUCGGUUAAAUCGCAUGAUUUGAUCGGGGAAUGAGCAAUCAGGUAUAGGAUGGGCCCGCGUCCGAUUAGCCAGUUGGCAGGGUAAAAGCCUACCAAAGCGACGAUCGGUAGCCGGACUGAGAGGUCGGACGGCCACAUUGGGACUGAGACACGGCCCAAACUCCUACGGGAGGCAGCAGUGGGGGAUAUUGCACAAUGGAGGAAACUCUGAUGCAGCGACGCCGCGUGAGUGAAGAAGUAUUUCGGUAUGCAAAGCUCUAUCAGCAGGGAAGAUGAUGACGGUACCUGACUAAGAAGCCCCGGCUAACUACGUG
rnacentral:rRNA from 1 species